rnacentral:rRNA from 1 species
GACGAACGCUGGCGGCGUGCUUAACACAUGCAAGUCGAACGGAAAGGCCCUGCUUUUGUGGGGUGCUCGAGUGGCGAACGGGUGAGUAACAAGUGAGUAACCUGCCCUUGACUUUGGGAUAACUUCAGGAAACUGGGGCUAAUACCGGAUAGGAGCUCCUGCUGCAUGGUGGGGGUUGGAAAGUUUCGGCGGUUGGGGAUGGACUCGCGGCUUAUCAGCUUGUGGGUUGGGUAGUGGCUUACCAAGGCUUUGACGGGUAGCCGGCCUGAGAGGGUGACCGGCCACAUUGGGACUGAGAUACGGCCCAGACUCCUACGGGAGGCAGCAGUGGGGAAUAUUGCACAAUGGGCGGAAGCCUGAUGCAGCAACCCCGCGUGCGGGAUGACGGCCUUCGGGUUGUAAACCGCUUUCGCCUGUGACGAAGCGUGAGUGACGGUAAUGGGUAAAGAAGCACCGGCUAACUACGUG